UACGUAGGGGGCUAGCGUUGUCCGGAAUCAUUGGGCGUAAAGCGCGCGUAGGCGGUCAGGUAAGUCCGGUGUGAAAGUCAAAGGCUCAACCUUUGAAUGCCGCUGGAUACUGCUUGACUUGAGUCCGGAAGGGGCGAGUGGAAUUCCUGGUGUAGCGGUGAAAUGCGCAGAUAUCAGGAAGAACACCAAUGGCGAAGGCAGCUCUCUGGGACGGUACUGACGACUGGAGACGCGAAAGCGUGGGGAGCGAACAGG
rnacentral:rRNA from 1 species